ACUCCUACGGGAGGCAGCAGCAGGGAAUUUUGCGCAAUGGGCGAAAGCCUGACGCAGCGACACCGCGUGGAGGAUCGAAGGCCUUCGGGUCGUAAACUCCCUUUAUACGGGAAGAUUAUGACGGUACCGUAUGAAUAAGCACCGACUAACUACGUGCCAGCAGCCGCGGUAAUAAU
rnacentral:rRNA from 1 species